UAACGUAGGGGGCUAGCGUUGUCCGGAAUCAUUGGGCGUAAAGCGCGUGUAGGCGGUCCGGUAAGUCCGCUUGUGAAAGUCGAGGGCUCAACCCUCGAAUGCCGGUGGAUACUGUCGGGCCUAGAGUACGGAAGAGGCGAGUGGAAUUCCGUGGUGUAGCGGUGAAAUGCGCAGAUAUCAGAGGAACACCAAUUGCGAAGGCAGCUCGCUGGGACGUUUACUGACGCUGAGACGCGAAAGCGUGGGGAGCAAAACAGG
rnacentral:rRNA from 1 species